rnacentral:rRNA from 1 species
GUUUGAUCCUGGCUCAGGACGAACGCUGGCGGCGUGCCUAACACAUGCAAGUCGAACGAGGUCCAUGCAGUGGCAACACUGCGGAAGACCUAGUGGCGAACGGGUGAGUAACACGUGAGGAACCUGCCCCGAAGACCGGGAUAACCCUCCGAAAGGAGAGCUAAUACCGGAUACCCCCACCUGGUCGCAUGGCCGGGUGAGGAAAUGGAUUCCGCUUCGGGAGGGCCUCGCGGCCUAUCAGCUAGUUGGUGAGGUAACGGCUCACCAAGGCAUCGACGGGUAGCUGGUCUGAGAGGACGAUCAGCCACACUGGGACUGAGACACGGCCCAGACUCCUACGGGAGGCAGCAGUGGGGAAUCUUGCGCAAUGGGCGAAAGCCUGACGCAGCAACGCCGCGUGGGGGAUGAAGGCUCUCGGGUUGGUAAACCCCUUUCAGCAGGGACGAAAUUGACGGUACCUGCAGAAGAAGCCCCGGCUAACUACGUGCCAGCAGCCGCGGUAACACGUAGGGGCAAGCGUUGUCCGGAUUUAG